rnacentral:lncRNA from 1 species
CUAAAAACAAAGACUGGUGGAGGUAAUCAAAGACACAGAUGAAAGGAGAGGGAAUGUAUCAUGAAGUUAAAACUGGAGUGAGAACACCCUACCCAUACUUCCCAGUUAGCAAGCCUAGCUUUUAUCUUAUGAAGAAAAUGCCAACUGCUAAAAGGCAAAAAGACACAUUACACUUUUUCACAUGUGAGCAGAUAGAAGUAGAAAUGAGUAGGCCUAUUAUUUCCAGAAGGAUCUGUGUGUUUUAAUUCUGAAUACCAUUAAAAAUAGAAAACAGAUAUUUUAUACCAUUUUUCCUGUUUACAGCAGCAUUUAUGUCCAAAAGUUUGUCCUUCUUGAAUCUUAUAUUCAUUGUCUUUAAUGAUGCAGAAUGUUUUCCUUUUUGGCUGUACAUGUACUCUGUUUUUCAUUUUUGAGCAUGUGGAAAUCUAAGACUGUCUUCACCAUAAAGAGAAGGUGCCUUUUUUUCAUUCCUUUUACUAUCUGUGCUGGAAUUUUCCUCUACUCUUAACCACUUGAAGUACUAAUUGAUGUGUAAAGUGUCUAACCCCAUUUCUGGAAUACAGCUUCUUGUGUAUACUAAGUAAGCCUCUUUGUAUGAUAUGGCACCUCCUUAACUUCUCCCUGGUAUGAAUAGAUUGUUUUUUCCAUAAGAGUUUUAAGCAGUCUGAAUUUGCUAUUUUAUGUUUUAUAAUGUGCUUACUAGAAGGAACAGUAAAAUUACCACCCCUAACUACACUAUUCAACUCCUGUAACUUUUACCAUUUGACUUGAGUCUUCAUCCACAUGAAAGGACUGAGAAUUGCAGUCCUAAAAAAGUUAAUGAA